AUCGCUUCUCGGCCUUAUGGCUAAGAUCAAAUGUGUAGUAUCUGUUCUUAUCACCAGGGGUGCUGGUGAACUUUAGAGAGCAGAUGCUGGAGAUUCGAUGUGAGCCUGUUUAAAGCUGAAAUGUGGAUUAUGGAUUGAUAUUUAGUGCCUUGGAAUAAUAGCGAAUGAUAUUUCGUCGGUUUUGUGUGGAAAUUAUCGAAU